GACAAUUUUUUGUUUAAGGCCUAAAACGUCGUUUGAUCACCCCAAAAAAUCCUAAAAUUUUUUCAAAGUCCAAAUCCCCACUCCACAUAAACCCUCACCUAACUACAGUCUUUGAACUCCACCUCCAUUCUCUGUCCAAAACAACCACCGACUUCACCCACUCCGGUUCAAAAUUUACAUUCAAAAUAGCACAAAAUCACGCAUUCCAGUCAUCCCUUACUUUCCGACGAUCUGAGUAUGCCCAGUGCCCAUGGUCACACUAGCUAGCAACGGCGCCAACAUCGAGCCUCAGAUAUUGUCGUUCAUGAGUGCAUCGCGCCUGCGCCACUGCCCCUAAUCAUCAGAUCUGGUCAUCAUGCACCUCGUCGAUCAACCAAGAACUCAAGGGAGCCCUAUUCCAUCUUCACCUACCUACGUCGUCUAUCUCUACUCCCAAAUCUCCUUUCUGAGGCAAAUGUAUAGAACGGUGGUGGAAGAAGCAUCAUUAAAAAUAAAGAAAAGGCGGAGGUUGUACUUGCCUUGUAAAAUACACUUUCUAAAAAAACCAUAUCUGGAAAUUCAGAAAGUGAAGUGGUGGUCGUAGAUGAGUGCAGCUGAAGCUCUAAGGAUAUUAGUUUUUUGGGCAUGGCUCCGGUUAUGUUGAUAAUUUGGGGUUCGCUUUAUAAACCGUGUGGAACAUGAAGACAUAGAAUCACAUAUCGGUCCUUCCUCUUGGUAAAGAUCCACUUGCUAUUACAUCCCUAAGUUUCAACCACAAUGAAGGAUCUUAGCAGGGUCUGCAACUGAUGGAAUGGUUCACAUGUUUGACGUGUCAGCUGGUAAAUUACUGGAUGGCUUGUGCAUGAUUCUGCUAUGAGCUCUUCUUUUUUGGCCCGGAUAUACCAGCAUUUUCAGCCUUGAGUCAGUCAGAAAGGCAAGUUUGUUUCAUUAUUUUAUGGCUUGAAUAUAACCAGAUUUUCUAAUGGACUUUGCAAAGCUAAGGUCAAGUCGUUCGGUCAAGGAAUUGCAGCAGGUACACACAUUACUUGGCACUAUUAACAGCAAAUAUAUUGUGCACUAUACUUGAUUUUUCUCUCCUGUCACCUCUGUUAAAAAGAAAUGAUGCCAAAAAAAAAAAUAUUUUUUUUCUUUUAAAGCAACAGAUGUCAUAAAUUCAGUAAAACCUUCAACUACUAAACAUUCUUCAUUAGUUCAUGCAUGCUUCUGUCUCAAUACUAUUGUAGGCUCUUUUUUUUCUUUUUUGCUUUUUUUCCCCCUUUCUCUCUCUCCUUGUGUAGAGAUCUUACCGUCAACAGAUUGAAUGGAACUCUUUCAAUUUUUCAAGGCUUACAGCAGGUGCAGAAUAUGUAAGUAUAUUACCUUAAGUUGUAAUAUAAACAUGGGGGUUCCAUGUAUAUACCUUUGACAAUUUAUGCUUUAGAGGCAUAGAUUUAGAUUCAUGGAAUCCUGGUAAAGUACCAACCUUCUCAUCCUUGGAAAUUAUCAUUGCUCGUUUGGUAUAAUGUAGACGAGGCCUUUCAUAAAUGAGAUAAACAGAGAACUUAAGAGAGGGAGAAGAUGUGAUCUAGUAAUUAUUUGAUUAUUAAUUUUAUGUUUUGAUGUGAUCUAGUAAUUAUUUGAUUAUUAAUUUUAUGUUUUCUUCUGUAUAAUCUUGUUUCUAAUUUAACUGUAUAACAAUUGCUUACUGCAUUAUUAAUUUGAUUCUGAUGCUUAACAAGCAACCAACUUAGUGCGAAUGUUCCAAAAUAGAUCCUAGAUAGAGAAACCAACUAGUAAGUUUGUCCAACAUAAACCCACAUCAUUUUGCAUUAUAUCAUAUAUUAUUUGUAAAUAUUUUUUCCAGUUCUAUAUAUUUAAUCAAGAAAUAUGUUCUUUAUGAUUAUCAUAAUGAGUAAAAAUUUGAGUUCAUAAUUAUUCUUAAUGUUUUUUUUGGAUGGAUUGCUCCACACGUGGUAAGCAUCAUGAUUGCUUUCCGGACGUGUGUUGUUGCUUGUUUCCAUUAAAAUGUCAGGUUUCUUGGUAUUGCUAUUUGCUCAUGGGGUUUAUUGAUGUUCAAGGGAAUUACCUCUGUGAGUUGUUGUACUUGGAGCUUUCUUAAUAAUUUAUGCUUCAGCAUUAGUCAUUUAUGAAAUUAUGCUAAUCAAAUUUGUUGAAAAGUAUGUUUUUCAAUGCCUGUCUAUUUAGGAGCACAUUCUUACAAUAGAUAAAUGGAAUGAUGGGCUUAUAAUUAAAGGAGUCUAUGAAAAGAAUUAAUUAUCGCUUACCACAUAUAUUACAAAUAUAUAAAUUAGUGUAAUAUACGAAAGUAUAUUUUAUAACAAAUAGGCAGAGGCAUGCAGUCGAUGAUAAACAAAAGAAAGUUAAUUGUUGCUUUCAAAUGGUUAGUUUCUUGAUGAUUAUAUGACUAAUUAUGAUCUAAACACUGUAUACAAUAUCUUAUGAUCUAAAGUAUUUUUGUACACACUUGUUCCAUUCCUUCUCAAGGUAUAGUAUUCUUCUGUAAUCCGUUAAUGGUAAAAUUCUUUUUUUUUUUUUCCCAAAAAUAUAAUACAUACUUAUUUUGGUUUAAGCUCAUGCUGCAAUGUAAGUCCGUGCCAAAAGUUAGAUCAUACUUGGUACUAAUAUUACUGUCAGUCUAAUUACUGGUACGCACUAAUGUAGUGCACUUUGCUUUCUAAUACUUCUUUCAGAUUAAUACGUGCCCUGGAUCCCGAUCUGGAACUCUGUUACUAUAUUGAUGGGGAUAUUUUAAGGAUUGCUGGGACAUGUGAUAUAAUUUUUUGGCACGACAAAAGAGUUUCUGUAUUUGUUUAUUCUUGUCGGUCUCUAACUUCAUUGAUCCUUGCUAGAUGACUUUUACUUUACAGCGAUUGCUUUAUUGGGGUCCUUAUGUAUCUUUGAUAUCUUGACAGUUUUGCUACUAGUCCAACCACCAAAGAUGAUAAACUACAUUGUUGAUGAGCACUAUAUUGAUGUGGAGUCUCCACUACUUAACCGAGUGAAGAUGACAGAAGGCAUUCAAGGAGAAUGCUGCAGCAUUACAACAUCAAGAUGGUUUACAGACUAGCCAAGCACAAUCUUUUUUUUUUUCUUUUUUUUUUUUUUUCGUUUUAGUUUAAGCUUAUUAUAUGCAAAGUUCAAAAUUUAGGUAUAGGUGGAAAUAUCAAAAGUUCAAAAUAUAUAAAUUUUUAUGUAAAUAUUGGAAUGUAUUGAAUAUUGAUAAAAAUUCACAAAAAUGAUUGAA